GGUGACUGCGUGGCAAGUCCCGGAACUGCCAUGGUGUUGGGAGACGGAGGGGAAUUCUGCUCACCUGGACUUGCUCGCUAUCUUGAGGCCUAAAACCAACGGACAGAAAACUGCUGGGAUGACAAAUCUUUUAGGCUUCACCUGGAACCAUGAGCCAUCCAGGGUCUUUCAGGCUCACUGCUCUAGGGCCAGCAGUUGGAAAGCCCUCACAGACUGAGCUCCCCCACUCUGAAGCAGGAAAGUUGAAGGACUUCUCUCAAGCAAAGCUCCCAGAUGCUCUCCUGGACCGCUGCAAUCUCGGUACUGAAAGCCCUGGGUGAUGUUUCUAGGAUGCACAGUGCCUUCAUACGGAAAGCCAUAGACCAUGUAGUCCCAGGUCAACAGACAGCACUUGGUUGAACCGCUUCUUGCAGAGCAUAUUGAUUUUGGGAACAUCAUUGGAAAAAAUAACUUGGAAAACCUCUCAUGAGCAGGAAAGCCUGGACUGUGGUCAGUUCCUUGCUCAAAUCUCCGUCUCCAGUCCUUUAAGAUAAUUUGGUGUUUAUAAAUACGUUGGUGCCAAACCUCACCAAGUCGACAUUCUCACAGUGAGACAAGGUGAUCGCUGAGGGGAGGAUCACAGGAGGAUGGAACAAAGUCCAUCCUCACAGAGGAACUGCAGCCUUUGCUCACUCAGACUCUUAAAAACCGAGUAACCCAUCUGUGUCAGCCUCCACCUUUGUGGCUUUUUUUUCAAUUUCAAGACCAUCUGAGCUACAUGCCAGGUUUCACCCUGCUGAGACCUGAAGGGACAAAGACCUGAUGCAACGAGGACACCAGGGAGGGCGGCCAGACCUGUGUGCCCCCUCAGUCACGCAGAUGCUGCUGCUGAGUGCCCUCGCCCACCGGGCAUAAGGGGAGGGAGCCCUGAUAACAGCCAUAUAAAACAGAAAAAAAACCCCAAACAAUAAAAAUAGCAGCAUAACAUCUGUGAAGGUGUGCUCCCAAGCACGUUGCUUUUAGCCGGAUUUUAAACCUUUUGACAGAGCCCUUCACGACUCGUUGCGGCCUCCUUCGGGUGGGACGCCCCCUCACCACCGACUGACCUGAGGAGACGCUGCCAAGGAAUUGGCUUUGCUACUGCUCGCCAGAGGCGACCGAUGGCCCCGGCAGGCCCUGCCCCGGCCCGACCUUUGCCCCGACACCGGCGGCCGGGGAGUGUCGGCCGCCGCCGCGCACCCUACCGGGCCUGGCCCCGGGGGAGGCCGGACAAUAUGGCAGCCAGGACGGCCUGCUGGGCCCCGGCCACUGAAACAGCUUAACCCCCGCAAACAUUCAUGAAUUGGCUGCUGUUCUGUCACAUUUGGGCUUUUUAUUUUUUUUUUUGGAAUGUAAAGAAGUCGGUCUUUUGGUUUUCCAGAUGACAUGAAAGGGGUAGCAGGGCAAAGACGGCAGGCAGGGCCUGGUCCCCAGCUCCCUCAGGCAGCCCCCAGGAGCUGUGGCAUGUCACCCCAUUUAUAGGAGGACAACAAGCCCAAGCCAGGUCCUCAGGAGUCUCCUUGGUUGGAGAUGCUUCCCAUGGGACACUUUGGUGUCCCAGGCAAGCAAAUUAACCCUCCUUGCCUCGCACUUUUGCUCUGAUCUCCACAGCCUGGCAUCGAAGGAGGGGCAAAACUGCGUUAUGUUUUUACAUGCCAUUUUUCUCUUUCCUGCUCUUUUGAGCCACAGCCACCACGAGCCUUGGCGGUAGGGUGGGUCGGAGCAGCAAGGUGGCUUCAAACCAGCUUCAAAUGAUGCCUAAAGAACAAAGUCAAAAGUUUAUCGAGAAGUUUCAGCUGGGACACAGUUGAGACAUCACAGAAGGUGCCUAACCUUGAAUAGGAUGUGAAAUGAAAUAAUUUGCCUUAAGUGUUCUUUUGCAGUUGCUGACUUAGACAUAAGACAGCAAAAAAUGUAACUUCUGGACCACAGUCAAGCCCAGAGUGUAUCCUGAACUAACCUUAAGCAAUUGUAAUGCUAAAACACACCCCCCUUUCAGAAUUAUGAGCACGCUAAUCAGGUAACCUCCCUCAAUGUUUUAAACAUGAGUAUAGAUGCAUAUGUAUAGUUAGGAGAGGAAAAUGAAUCAUUAUUAACCAAUCAGCUAUAUUUUAUCAUAAUAAAUAUUGGGUGGUUUGAAA